GGCAUUGUGGCAGAGUGGUCUAAUGCGCAAGACUAGAAUGAAUCCAGUACUUUACUGAUCUUCUGCGAUCUUGUUCCUUCGGGAGCGUCUGUUCGAAUCAGGCCAAUGUCG